CUGUAAUGUGCCAGUAGAACGGUGUAGUGGAGUAGAAAGUUAGUGGGUUAACUGUGUGCUUAAAACACGAAUCGUUUCAUAUUCUUACUUGGUAUUGUUAUGGUUUUUGGGUCCAAUUUAAUUCUGUUCCAUUGUUGUUAUAAAUCCUGGUUAAUUUGUAAAAGACGAACUGAUAACUUCCUUUAGCUGAAUGGAUAAAGAGAUGUGGUUCAAUGUGAAAUGAUAUUAGGUCUGUUUUAAAAAACAGAAUAACUUGUUUAUCGGCCUGUUUCUGAUUCCAUGAUCUAAAAAGUGUCAAGUUUAAAUAUUCAUAAUGGCAUUCGGAGAAUCUAAAGGUGCUGCUUUAGGAUUUGCUUUGGGGACGACUGUCUUAUUGGUAAUGUACCUUGUUGGAUUUUGUAUUCCAUAUUGGAGUAUGACCACUAAUGUAUCAUCAUUUGAAUCUACCAGGAUGUCACAUUUUGGACUAUGGAAGGCCUGUGGUGUCAGCCAUGAUAUGAUAAUAGAUGAGUUUUUGCCAAGUGAUGAAUGUUUCAGUACACUUGAACAAGGUGUUCCAGGUUGGUUAAGAGCUGUACAGUUAUUUGCUGUAUUGGUUGUAGUAUUUGGUCUGGCCAGUUGGAUUAUGUUAUGGUGGAUAACAUGUGGUAAUUUUGGAGAAGAAAGAGCCUUUCAAUUUAUGCUGCCUUGCUGGAUACUUGCAGGUAUUUGUAUGUUAGUGGCCAUUUGUAUAUUCGGUCAUUUUGUAAAACCUAAAUUAGACACGUUUGAAAUCCCGGGGAGAGUGCAGUUGGAAGAAGAAAGAAUUGAAUUUGCUUGGGGUUUUAUCUUGGUAGCUGUUACGACGGCCAUAUGGAAUGCUUUUAGUAUUGUUUUUAUUUGUAUUACUUGCUGUUGUUGAUAUGUGCCUUAAGUCCAAGGGGAGAUCGUAAUGACAGUGCUUUGAGGGAGGGUGUUAUCAGGACAGGGGGAAAUCUUGGAAAAAAUGAAGAUUAUUAAAGGGGCAUUCUUUAAAUGGGUUAAAGUAUGCAAAUCAAAUGUUAAAAAAUGUUGACAAAUAGUCCAAUUAGACUUUCUGAAAUUUUCAAAUUAACCUACCGGGUAUUGAGUUGUUUGGAAAUGAUUGCAAAAUUUACUUACUUAAUGGCCUUAUUUAACGUGUUAAAAACAACAAAGAAUUAUAUUGUUUUCUUGUAUGAGGGACUUGAUAAUCAUGACAAUUGCUUAUCUCUAUCAUUUCUGCAAAUGUAUAUACAGGAUUAUCCAGGCACUUAUUUGGCAUGGAAUUUGUCACUUGAGGUCUAACCCUUGUGGAAACUGAAAGAUUUUAUUUCAUUGAAAGAGUAUCACAGAACUUCAAAUAGUUGCACAGGGCAAGGAUAAAAAUUUCUAAAAGAUUUUCACAUCGGAUUAACCAGUUAUAUUUACCGAAAUAUAUCUGGGAUGGGUCCUUUAAUGAUAUCAAUUUACUUUUCCUGAAAAUGUUAAUCUUUUAAUUUGUUUAGUGUGCGUUAUCUAAAAUUUACAACUAAGUAAAAUCGUGAGACAUGUUUUGAAGCCACUGAUUGUCAUUUGAGAGAUUUUUGAUCCCUUGCCAACUACAAUAUUAUUAAAGUCGAAUCUGUCAAAAUUGGUUCAAUUUUGUUAUGUAUACCGGUAAAUAAGAUAAAUUCAACCUCUGCAGAUAAUAUAAACAUAACAGUGCCAGUGUUUUGUAAAUCUUUUGAUGGCCCUCUUUUUCAUCAGAUUGAAUCCAAGCAGUAAGAUUAUCUAUUGUUGAUACAUGUAUCAUGGUUUUGUUUUCUUAAUUAAAUGUCAAACUAUCAAUUCUGGUAUAUUUUAACAUGAAUUAAACUGUGAGAAAUUUGAUAUUGUCAGGAAAAUGUAUGAUUGGGAUAGACAACUUAAAAAAUCCAUGUGUAUAAAAUUAAUUUCAAAACUUGCUUCAAUAUUAUUUGAUCUCACCGUGCUAUAUUCAUUAAUUAAAACAUAACAUAUAUUUUCUGACAUCAUAAUCUCCUCCUUGACAUGUACUCUAUACCACUGUCCCCCUCCCUCAACCACUAAAACUGACUGAAAUAUGGCCACCUGACAUUCUCCAUGCCAGAAUGCUUACUUUGUCUUGUUUGUUGAAAAGUUGUGAAUUUGAAUUGACACAGGAAUUCUUUUUUUAAAAGGGUGCAGGAGCUUGGUAGACCUCCUGGCUCCAUCAUCACUGCUUUAUAUACCAGAAUUUUGUAAUUAUCAGAGGAAGUUUGCCAUUCACUGCCUUAGAGAUAACAAUAUCUCAAUCUAACAAUAUAUGUACAUGUUAAAUGUUUGUGUCCAGAAAUUUAACAUUUUCAUUCAUGUCAUCUUGUAAUGAAAUGGAUGAAAACACUUUUUUUACACAUAAUCUGAAGUCUGAAAAAUAUUACCACACAUUCAAACUCAAACUUCCCUGGUUCGAGCCACAGUGGCUCAGUGAAUAAGGUUCCGGAAUCCUGGGUUCAAUUUCCGGUGUAUGCUGCCAAAGUUCCUCUGGAUUUUCCAGAGUAGUUCCCCCGGGUGUCAGUAGUGCAUGUACACAUUGCCGUUGGAAUUCAAAUGGUUGUCUGGGCAAAAGUUCCCUUGUAGCACACUGUAUGGGGUAUACCAAUCUUCAUUAGCUUGUAGAAAUGUAGGCCUUAAAUCACAUUUCAUUCAUUCUUUCAUUCAUUUAUUCAUUCUUCCAUAAUCUCUUGGAUCCAAUUGGAACAGUGAAAUCUAGUCUGAUUUGCUCCAGUCUUGAUGUUUCCUUACACACCUUUUAAAUGUAUUAACAUCUUUUUAAUCAGUAACCUUAGUGACAUAGUCACAUGACCCGACCCACCAAAUAUUAAUUUAAUGCAAUGUUUUUAAGCAGAACAAACUAUUUAAAUAUUUCUGAAGUACUCAAACAUAAGUGUUUUUAUCCAUUUUGCUGAGUCAUUCUAUUUAAUAUAUUUGUCUUGUAAUACCGUAUACCACUCAAUAACAGCCCUGCUUCAAUAAACACCUACCUGUUUUUUGUUAUUGGAUCAAUAAUAAGGGCCUCAUAUAUGUACCUGAAGACCUGCUUCAGAAAAAUUUUGUUGGAUGUUUAUUUCAUACUAACAUAAUUUUUUAGGUUACACUUCCUUGACAGUUGCAAUCUUUAAUAUAUAACCACUGUCUUGAUACAAAAAGCAAAAAGAUAUCCAAGCUACGGGAAAAAAUACAUCUGUCACUAAAGACAUUAAAUUUUUCGAAAUAUGUUAAGAGCUGCAUGCUAUUAUGAAAUGGAUUGGGGACUAAAGUCUUGUCAACACAAUACUUCGGUUAUGGUAAAUUUAAUUUCUAUGGUUAAGUGUGCAAUGUAGGGUGAGUGGGUGGGGUGGAGGGGGGUGGGGGUCUGGAGUUUUCACCUACUCUACUUCGAAUUCCAACUGCCUAGUAUUGUUUUCAGAGUGGACGCCAGUUUGCCAUCCCCUCCAAAUGAAUAGGCACACUUUCCUUGUAAGCCUGGACAAGAGAGAACAUAUAUAUAUGUAAGACUUGUAAGACUUAUAGAUAUGUGAAUCGUACAUUUUACUAAAUACCACUAUUGUGUAUGUAAAAAUACAUAUAGUGUGUAAAGCAUGCCCCAGGGCUAUUAUUACAUCUAAUACGGUAAUUAUUGUUGUUGUAUAUAAUAUUGAAGUUUUAUGUUUUGUAUUUUUUUAUUGUAUAAUUACAUUUAGUUAUUAUAUUGGCUUUGUUAAGUUUUUGCUGUUAGAAAUUUAAUGAAAUCUAGUCUAUAUAUUGUUUUGCUCGAUAUUGUUUAGUUUUCAAAAUUUUGUUUUACUUAAAGUCAGUUUUAUUGUAUUGCAGCAGUUUUUACAUUGAAUUCUGGUUAUUAAAGACACUGAGCAUGAUUUGUAAACUAUAUUUUUAUGAAAGUUGAAUCUCUAACAGGAAUAUCUGUCCAAAUUUUGUUUAAUUUUGUUCAGAAAUGAAAUGGGGUUUAACCUCCUGGCUCCUACUGUUCUGCUCCGGCUGGGCUAAAUGAAGACGGUAAUUCGGUUCAGUAUUUACAAAGACAUGACGAAAUGAAAAUUUCAUCGAUCUUUACUGCUCCCUAUGUAGCUACUAUGCCACCAUCUUUUUUUGUUGUGAACCAAAUUGAUGGGUCUGUUUUUAAUCCUAUUGAAUCCAAGCCAGAAGAUUAUCUAGAGUUAGAAUUUAGACUUUGUUUUCUGAAUUAAAUGUUAACUAAUCAAUCUGAAAUUUUAUAUUUUCUGAAAAAUGCAAUCAUGCAUUGUUACUUUUAGUUUUAAAAUAUAAAGCCAUUUAAUUUUUGUAUUUAAUAUUCAUUUUUUUGGAAAAUUUCAUCAAUAAAAGGUAAAUAUGACGAAUAAUUGAAAGGAAAAGAAGUAUUGGUAUUUGGUAGUCAGCUAAUAAACCACAAUUUCAGUAUUUUCUACUCAAAUUGGAAUUAUUUAAAAAUAUUUAAUUCUAAAGAUAAUUUUUUUACAUUGGAAUCAUGUAAAAAAAAGAAAAGGAGGGGGAGGGGCAUAAUUAUUAGAAAUUUAUUUAGAUUUUUUUAUUUUUAAAUUUUAUUUUUAAUCUGAGUUUUAAAAUUAUGCACAAUUAUUGUUUUGUUCAUUUUAAAUUUUACUGAGAAUGUAACCAACAGUUGAUCUUUUAUGAAUUUGUAAACUCACAACUUAAACAAAAUUGGUUUAAAGAAAAUUGGUUAUUGUUGUACAGUUAUCUUUGUCUUGUAUAAUAAAAGCUAUUUUGUUUAGAA